AGGACGAACGCUGGCGGCGUGCUUAACACAUGCAAGUCGAACGGAAAGGCCCUUCGGGGUACUCGAGUGGCGAACGGGUGAGUAACACGUGGGUGAUCUGCCCCGCACUUUGGGAUAAGCCUGGGAAACUGGGUCUAAUACCGAAUAGGACCAUGGCAUGCAUGUGCUGUGGUGGAAAGCUUUUGCGGUGUGGGAUGGGCCCGCGGCCUAUCAGCUUGUUGGUGGGGUUAAGGCCUACCAAGGCGACGACGGGUAGCCGGCCUGAGAGGGUGUCCGGCCACACUGGGACUGAGAUACGGCCCAGACUCCUACGGGAGGCAGCAGUGGGGAAUAUUGCACAAUGGGCGCAAGCCUGAUGCAGCGACGCCGCGUGGGGGAUGACGGCCUUCGGGUUGUAAACUCUUUCGACGGGACGAUAAUGACGGUACCGUAGAGAAGCUCCGGCUACGUUCGCGCCAGCAGCCGC
rnacentral:rRNA from 1 species